rnacentral:rRNA from 1 species
GACGAACCGUGCAACCGUUAUUCGGAAUCACUGGGCAUAAAGGGCGCGUAGGCGGCUCCAAAAGUCAGGGGUGAAAUCCGGCAGCUUAACUGUCGCAGUGCCUUUGAUACUGUGGAGCUAGAGGGAGGUAGGGGUCUGUGGAACUUCCGGUGGAGCGGUGAAAUGCGUUGAUAUCGGAAGGAACGCCGGUGGUGAAAGCGACGGACUGGAUCUCUUCUGACGCUGAGGCGCGAAAGCCAGGGGAGCAAACGGG